UGUGUCCCUCUAUGGGUCCCCCCUAUGGGUCAGGUGUGGGGUCAGUGUGUGUCCCUCUAUGGGUCCCUCUAUGUGUCCCCCUAUGGGUCAAUGUGUGUCCCCCUAUGUGUCCCCCUAUGGGUCAGUGUGUGGGUCAGUGUGUGGGUCAGUGUGUGUCCCUCUAUGGGUCCCUCUAUGUGUCCCCCUAUGGGGCAAUGUGUGGGUCAAUGUGUGUCCCUCUAUGGGUCCCUCUAUGGGUCAGUGUGUGGGUCAAUGUGUAUCCCUCUAUGGGUCAAUGUGGGUCCCUCUAUGGGUCCCCCUAUGGGUCAGUGUGUCCCUCUAUGGGUCCCCCUAUGGGUCCCUCUCUGGGUCCCCCUAUGGGUCAGUGUGUGUCCCUCUCUGGGUCCCCUAUGGGUCCCCCUAUGGGUCAAUGUGUGUCCCCCUAUGGGUCCCCCUAUGGAUCAAUGUGUGGGUCAAUGUGUGUCCCUCUAUGUGUCCCCCUAUGGGUCAGUGUGUGGGUCAGUGUGUGGGUCAGUGUGUGUCCCUCUAUGGGUCCCUCUAUGUGUCCCCCUAUGGGUCAAUGUGUGUCCCCCUAUGGGUCCCCCUAUGGGUCCCUCUAUGGGUCAGUGUGUGGGUCCCUCUAUGGGUCACUGUGUGGGUCAAUGUGUGUCCCUCUAUGGGUCAAUGUGUGUCCCUCUCUGGGUCCCCCUAUGGGUCCCUCUAUGUGUCCCCCUAUGGGGGCAAUGUGUGUCCCUCUAUGGGUCCCCCUAUGGGUCAAUGUGUGUCCCCCUACGGGCCCCCCUAUGGGUCAGUGUGUGUCCCUCUAUGGGUCCCUCUAUGGGUCCCUCUAUGGGUCAGUGUGUGGGUCAUUGUGUGGGUCAGUGUGUGGGUCAGUGUGUGUCCCUCUAUGGGUCCCUCUAUGUGUCCCCCUAUGGGGCAAUGUGUGUCCCUCUAUGGGUCCCCCUAUGGGUCAGUGUGUAGGUCAGUGUGUGGGGUCCCUCUAUGGGUCACUGUGUGGGUCAAUGUGUGUCCCUCUCUGGGUCCCCCUAUGGGUCCCUCUAUGGGUCCCCCUAUGGGUCAAUGUGUGUCCCCCUAUGGGUCCCCCUAUGGGUCCCCCUAUGGGUCAGUGUGUGGGUCAGCGUGUGGGUCAAUGUGUGGGUCAGUGUGUGGGUCAAUGUGUGUCCCUCUAUGUGUCCCCCUAUGGGUCAGUGUGUGGGUCAACGUGUGGGUCAGUGUGUGGGUCAAUGUGUGGGUCACUGCGCGGGGGCCGUCACUCACUGACCCCGGCCCCACGGUGACGCAGGCUUUGGGCCCCAGGCUGAGCACGCGGCCGUCGCAGCGCUGCAGCAGAU
rnacentral:lncRNA from 1 species